rnacentral:tRNA from 1 species
UGCGGUGUGGAGCAGCCAGUAGCUCGCCAGCCUCAUAAGCUGGAGGUCGCCGGGGCAGAGCCGGCCGCCGCUUCCA